rnacentral:rRNA from 1 species
AUUGAACGCUGGCGGCAUGCCUAACACAUGCAAGUCGAACGAGACCUUCGGGUCUAGUGGCGCACGGGUGCGUAACGCGUGGGAACCUGCCUUUAGGUUCGGAAUAACUCAGAGAAAUUUGAGCUAAUACCGGAUAAUGUCUUCGGACCAAAGAUUUAUCGCCUUUAGAUGGGCCCGCGUUGGAUUAGCUAGUUGGUGGGGUAAAGGCCUACCAAGGCGACGAUCCAUAGCUGGUCUGAGAGGAUGAUCAGCCACACUGGGACUGAGACACGGCCCAGACUCCUACGGAGGCAGCAGUGGGAAUAUUGGACAAUGGGCGAAAGCCUGAUCCAGCAAUGCCGCGUGAGUGAUGAAGGCCUUAGGGUUGUAAAGCUNUUUUACCCGAGAUGAUAAUGACAGUAUCGGGAGAAUAAGCUCCGGCUAACUCCGUGCCAGCAGCCGCGGUAAAGUGACUACUG